rnacentral:lncRNA from 1 species
CGUUAAGGAGGUGGAGGGGAAGGGCCUGACCAGGGGCUGUAAGAAGAGCCCACCCAGCAGGAGCAAGGGAGAAGUGGGCCAUGGCUGGGCUCUUGACCCUGGCCCAGCUGGGAAACCAGCCUUGAGAUCUCUGGCAGGGGCGACCUCUUCAGAGGCCCUUCCUGGCUUACUUCUCACCAACUAGGUCAGCGUCUCCCACAUGCCACCAGAGCUGGGACACAGCUGUGGACAAAGGACAGGGAGCUGGCCUCGAGAGCCUGACAUCCAAAUCAGGGCUGAGAAAAACCUGGAAAGAACGGGCCGGCAUUCACCCAAGGGAGCGUGGGGUGGCAGGAGCCGGCAGCCCAUGGGCCUCUGGCCUCUGCCUUCAAGGCCUGCCUCCCACCCUCGCUGGGGAUUGAACCCAGGGCCUGUGCAUGCAAGGUGAGUGCUCCAUCAACUGAGCUAGGUCCCCAGCUCUCCCCCAGGGUUUCUUGCUUCGACAUCUCUCCAUUCACGUAUUAUCUCAUUUUUCUUUUAGCAAAAACAUUUUUUCUUUUCUGUGUAUAUUUGGCCAAACAUACCUCUCCACUGCCAAAAUUUCUCUUUGUUCAGUUUCAGUGACCAGUUCAGACCCAAUUAUGUCCUAAUUUUCAAGUUCCUAGGAGAGGGUCUUUGCAGGGAGUUAUAUGGACAAUUGUAAAAGAGCUGCCACCCCAAAGGAGGAUCGUCCCAGAGGACACCCCAAGUAGAGUACGGUAUGGCAGGAGCCAAAACAUGUUUGUACAGUGGGACUACUUUCAGAAAUAUACCCUAAGGAAAUGUUCUGUUGAACAUGAGCAAAAAAUUACCUGAAGGCAUCAUUUGUCACCUAUCUGUAGUGGCAGGGACAUGAAAUCCAAGGUGGCAACUCAAGUAUUCAUAGGGAUCAGAGAGGUGAUAAUGUGAGGGAAGGAGGCAGGCCUGGUGAGUGACAUCAGGGAGUGGUGGCAACUGUAGCAAAGUGGAUGUCGCAUGCCCUCUCUGAAGGGGCACCUCUGCUACUUGGUAGCACGCCAGUGUGCUGAGACCCAGAUCCCAAGCCUCCCCGUGACGUCCCUGAAAAAUGCCAGAGAAACAACUAAAGCCAUAAUUCAAUCCAUAGCCAUCAUUUUUAGCCCAAAUACCCUCAAAUAAAUGUUUUAUUAGUGGAUUAUAGAGCUAUCAGCAUGUUAUUUUAGCAACCCUUAAAGCAGUA